GGAUUGCAGUCUGCAACUCGACUGCAUGAAGCCGGAAUCGCUAGUAAUCGCGGAUCAGAAUGCCGCGGUGAAUACGUUCCCGGGUCUUGUACACACCGCCCGUCACACCAUGGGAGUCGGAAAUGCCCGAAGCCGGUGGCCUAACCGAUAAGGGAGGAGCCGUCGAAGGCAGGUCUGAUGACUGGGGUGAAGUCGUAACAAGGUAAC
rnacentral:rRNA from 1 species